CGCCUGCCCUGUGACAAAAGUUCAACGGCCGCGGUAUUUUGACCGUGCAAAGGUAGCGCAAUCACUUGUCUUUUAAAUGAAGACCUGUAUGAAUGGCAUGACGAGGGCUUAACUGUCUCCUUUUUCCAGUCAAUGAAAUUGAUCUUCCCGUGCAGAAGCGGGAAUAUAGCCAUAAGACGAGAAGACCCUAUGGAGCUUUAGACACAAGACAGAUCUUGUUAAACACUUCAAAAUAAAGAAACAAACUAAAAGAACCCUGCCCUACUGUCUUCGGUUGGGGCGACCACGGGGAGAUAAAUAACCCCCACGCGGACUGGGAAAACAGUUCUCACAACCAAGAGCUACAGCUCUAAUCAACAGAAAAUCUGACCUCAAGAUCCGGCAACGCCGAUCAACGAACCGAGUUACCCUAGGGAUAACAGCGCAAUCCCCUUUUAGAGUCCAUAUCGACAAGGGGGUUUACGACCUCGAUGUUGGAUCAGGACAUCCUAAUGGUGCAGCAGCUAUUAAGGGUUCGUUUGUUCAACGAUUAAAGUCCU
rnacentral:rRNA from 1 species